UGAAGCUGCUAAAUCAGCCGUUUUUUUUUUUCCUUUUGCAAUAAAGAAUGAACUUCUGCAGAUUUUCAGCUUUACCCCCAAGAUUUUCAUAUUUUCUAAAGCUUUCCAUGAAUUCCAAGAGCUUGCCCUGAUUGCUUUAAAACAACGAACUGAGAAAAAUUUUGGAUGAGCCAACACAACUUCCGUGUUACACCAAUACAUCAACAUCCUUUCUCUAUUUACCAAUUCUGCAUGAAGGAACGUGGAUAAAAGACUGCAGUCUCACCAGCGUUAAUGUGAGCUAGGCUUUUAUUCCGUACAAUUGCACAGCAUUGGGUUUGAUAUGCCGUUACUCCAGGGUUGGAUCAGUCAAGACUCUGUUAUGAAAGAACCCAUCUCAAAAUACCCUGAGUGGAAAAACAAACAAACAAACAAACAGAUCUGCUCACCCCUGGACUCAAAGGCUAAGGGUGAAUGCAAAGGCACUGCUGAGUCCAGGUUCUGACACUCACAUUUCAGUAGACAGUUCUCUACUAGAACUCUGUUUCUGUAUCUAGGCUCUCUACUUUUUAUGCUUCUCUUUGUGUGCUGUUUUCAUUCUUUUCAACUGGUGACAGAUGUCCUCUGUCUGGCAGGGAAGAUGUGCCCUGGCGGCUCUCCUCGCCUUAGGAACCGCAUGCUCAGAACAAUCUCUGUGGGCAGCCCUGUUUUAAAGAACCUUGGUGGGAGAAUUCUAACUGCUUCUUGAAGAGUGAUAUCAACAUUAUUAGUCCCAUAUCUGACCACCUGGACCAGAAUUGCUGAUGAGACACGGCAGUGUUCAGCAACAGGGAAGUAUUUGAACAAAAUGAAAUUCAUAUAUGAUGAAACUCUCCCUAGGCUUACGACUUUAGCUUUCUGUUUGAGACAUUCCCGGGGAACUCUAUUAUUUUGAGGUACUUCUCACAAGAGAGAGCUGGGGAGGACCCAACAGCUCUAAAAUCACUUGAGAAACAAAUGGCAUACUCUUGACUAAACUAUGUUAACCCCUUAUUCAAUGAGAGUGAAUGGAAAGUUCUGCACGUAAUGAAAUAAGAGCUGUGUUUGUGUUCUCCUUUGGUCCUCAGCUCCUGGCAAUCACAUAGUAGGGAUGAUAUUCUUCUUUAAGAAAAUUAACUAGGAGAUACGGCAGUUCCCUCUACUCUCAAUCAGGUUUUGCAAAUCCUUCUGAAUUUCCAGCGGUAACGAACCACACAAUGGGAGAUGCGCUGUGCUGCAGCAUAGCUCACAUGACUGGCCUCCAUUACACCUACCUCCAGGAGAGCCAAGUGAAGUGUUUAGAAAAGGAAGUGGAUAGCUGGAGUGCGCUCCUAGGAUGACAGGCACCGUGGUGAGUAUACAUACUUUCUCUUACUUAAAUUAUACGUAUUAGUCCUAUCUGAGCUUUAAUUUCCUCAUCUAAAAAAAAAUGGGGUAAUACAGGACCCACCUCAGAACACUCCUGUGAGGGUUAAGUGGGGCUUAUAGAAAGGAGGGUAAUUAGAAUUUGUUGACUAGCUAUGAUGGGUCAAGCACUGUGGUUGGUUCUUUCACAUACUUUACCUCAUUCAUUAGCCCCAUUUUGAAAAUGAGGAAAAUGAGGUUAUGCAGAAGUGACCAAAAUGAUUUGCCCCUGAUGGAAGAGCCUCCACCAAGAACCCAGAACACAGAUAUUUACUGAGCGCUUCCCGUGUGUCAGGCAUUUUUCUUGGUAAUGAAUAAGACGGAGG
rnacentral:lncRNA from 1 species